rnacentral:rRNA from 1 species
AGCGAACGCUGGCGGCGUGCCUAAUACAUGCAAGUCGAACGGAGUGGCGCACGGGUGAGUAAUAUAUAGCUAAUCUGCCCCUUGCUGGAGGACAACAGUUAGAAAUGACUGCUAAUACUCCAUAGCAAGGGAUGAGACUAUAUAGUAUCAGCUAGUCGGUGGGGUAACGGCCUACCGAGGCUAUGACGUGUAACUGGUCUGAGAGGAUGAUCAGUAACAUUGGAACUGAGACACGGUCCAGAGUGCGACGAGAGGCGACAGUAGGGAAUAUUGCGCAAUGGGGAAAACGCUGAGGCAGCGGAGCCGAGAGGGGGAUGAAGGCUUUCGGGUUGUAAGCUUCUUCGUGCGAGCAAGGGGUAGGUAGAGAGAAAGCGCCGGCUAACUACGUGCCAGCAGCCGCGGUAAUUC